AUUGAACGCUGGCGGCAGGCCUAACACAUGCAAGUCGAGCGGGGUUUUCGGACCUAGCGGCGGACGGGUGAGUAAUGCGUAGGAAGCUGCCCGAUAGAGGGGGAUACCAGUUGGAAACGACUGUUAAUACCGCAUAAUGUCUACGGACCAAAGUGUGGGACCUUCGGGCCACAUGCUAUCGGAUGCGCCUACGUGGGAUUAGCUAGUUGGUGAGGUAAUGGCUCACCAAGGCGACGAUCUCUAGCUGGUUUGAGAGGAUGAUCAGGCACACUGGAACUGAGACACGCUCCAGACUCCUACGGGAGGCAGCAGUGGGGAAUAUUGGACCAUGGGCGCAAGCCUGAUCCAGCCAUGCCGCGUGUGUGAAGAAGGCCUUCGGGUUGUAAAGCACUUUCAGCCAGGAGGAAGGGUGGUGUGUUAAUAGCACAUCAUUUUGACGUUACUCGCAGAAGAAGCACCGGCUAACUCUGUGCCAGCCGCCGCGGUAAAAC
rnacentral:rRNA from 1 species